CUUUCCAAACGCUAACUACUGCAUCUGCACCUCCAGAAACCAACAAACUCCCGUCGAACCUUGAAGCUAAAGCCCACACACGGUCUUCAUGAUUGUCGAGCGUAGCAACACAUUCACCAGAGCUCAACGACCACACUUUGACCAAACCGUCGGCAGCAGCACUUACGACUUGGGUUCCUUGAGAAAUGUAGAUCAGUUUCAGUAUUGCACCUGUAUGACCUUCUAAAGUUUGCACACACUGUUGAGUAUCGACAUUCCAAAUACGAAUUGUACGAUCACCACUACCACUAGCGAGUUGACGACUAAAUGGGUUAAAUGAACAGGCCCACACACCCCGACGAUGUCCGCGCAGAACACCAACCACUUCACCCGUAGAUGAAUCCCAAAGCUUAAUAGUCUUAUCUUGACUAGCCGAAGCAAUAAUUCGUCCAUCCUUUGAAACUUGAAUAGCAUUAACAUCACGAUCAUGAGC